rnacentral:rRNA from 1 species
CCUACGGGGGGCUGCAGUGGGGAAUAUUGCACAAUGGGCGCAAGCCUGAUGCAGCCAUGCCGCGUGUGUGAAGAAGGCCUUCGGGUUGUAAAGCACUUUCAGCGGGGAGGAAGGCGUUAAGGUUAAUAACCUCAUCGAUUGACGUUACCCGCAGAAGAAGCACCGGCUAACUCCGUGCCAGCAGCCGCGGUAAUACGGAGGGUGCAAGCGUUAAUCGGAAUUACUGGGCGUAAAGCGCACGCAGGCGGUCUGUCAAGUCGGAUGUGAAAUCCCCGGGCUCAACCUGGGAACUGCAUUCGAAACUGGCAGGCUAGAGUCUUGUAGAGGGGGGUAGAAUUCCAGGUGUAGCGGUGAAAUGCGUAGAGAUCUGGAGGAAUACCGGUGGCGAAGGCGGCCCCCUGGACAAAGACUGACGCUCAGGUGCGAAAGCGUGGGGAGCAAACAGGAUUAGAUACCCUAGUAGUC